rnacentral:tRNA from 1 species
AUUAUUUUGGCAGAAGAGUGCGUUAGAUUUAGAAUCUUUUUAUGUAAGUUUUGACUUACAAAUAAUA